rnacentral:rRNA from 1 species
AUUGAACGCUGGCGGCAUGCCUUACACAUGCAAGUCGAACGGCAGCACGGGUGCUUGCACCUGGUGGCGAGUGGCGAACGGGUGAGUAAUAUAUCGGAACGUAUCCAAUAAUGGGGGAUAACUAAUCGAAAGGUUAGCUAAUACCGCAUACGCCCUACGGGGGAAAGCAGGGGAUCUUCGGACCUUGCGUUAAUGGAGCGGCUGAUAUCUGAUUAGCUAGUAGGUGAGGUAAAGGCUCACCUAGGCUUCGAUCAGUAGCUGGUCUGAGAGGACGACCAGCCACACUGGAACUGAGACACGGUCCAGACUCCUACGGGAGGCAGCAGUGGGGAAUUUUGGACAAUGGGCGCAAGCCUGAUCCAGCCAUUCCGCGUGAGUGAAGAAGGCCUUCGGGUUGUAAAGCUCUUUCAGGUGGAAAGAAAACGCAUGGGUCAAUACCCUGUGUGGAUGACGGUACCAUCAGAAGAAGCACCGGCUAACUACGUG